GUAGGGUGCAAGCGUUAAUCGGAUUACUGGGCGUAAAGCGUGCGCAGGCGGUGAUGUAAGACAGAUGUGAAAUCCCCGGGCUCAACCUGGGAACUGCAUUUGUGACUGCAUUGCUGGAGUGCGGCAGAGGGGGAUGGAAUUCCGCGUGUAGCAGUGAAAUGCGUAGAUAUGCGGAGGAACACCGAUGGCGAAGGCAAUCCCCUGGGCCUGCACUGACGCUCAUGCACGAAAGCGUGGGGAGCAAACAGGAUUAGAUACCCUGGUAGUCCACGCCCUAAACGAUGUCAACUGGUUGUUGGUCCUUUGCUGGAUCAGUAACGAAGCUAACGCGUGAAGUUGACCGCCUGGGGAGUACGGCCGCAAGGUUG
rnacentral:rRNA from 1 species